rnacentral:lncRNA from 1 species
UUUGUGGUACCAGCCAUUCUGACAGCACUGUCGUUUUGAUUUGCAUUUUCUUGAUGCUUAGUGACCUUGAUCAUGCUGCUUCUCUUUGGCACAUUGUAUUUAUUCAUUUUUUUCUAUCUUUAGAAGGGUUAAGAUUUUAGGUUUUUGCUUCUAGCAUGCUAUUGUUGCUGAUACUGGGAGAGACUGUGGAUACAGUUGCUCACCCAUGAAUAUUCACACCAACUGAAUAUACUGUAAAAUAGACAGUAACCAUGGUAAAAAAUGCCUCAGAAAUGAAAUGAUACCUAAAGCAAACUGUUGCUAAAUGAUGAACAUAAGAUGAAGAGCACUUUCUUGGCAAAAUGUAAUUAUUCUUUGUAGUUUUAUCUCAGUAGUAAAGAUUUAUAUAUACCUAUUAUUGAUCAAGAGAAAGUUCAGUUUAAUAGCUUAUAAGUGGCAUAUGUGAUAAAAGGACAUCCCAAGGUUGAAUAGGAACACAUUUUAAAGAAAAAGGUAGAGGCAAUAUUUGCAUACAAGAAUCAUGGAAAAUAUGCACAUACUUAUAGAUGUUAAAUAUGAGUGCAACUGGGAUAAUGGUCUUAAAAAUAUGUUCUGGUUUUGUUUUUGUCUCUUUCUAUGUAUUUUUCUUCUACAGCCUGAGGAAUUCACAUGGCUGAGAGUGGGGAUGAGGGUAGAGGAUUGCUACAGUAGGACUAUAAAGGGAAAGAAAAAAUUAACCUUCAGUUUCUGCCAUUUCAAACAGGAUUUUGCAGGAAAGCAAGAGGCUUGCAAGAGAAACUUUAUUGAGGAAGAGACAAUUUUCUCAAAUUUAGCAUAUCAGGAACCAGACAGGGAGAACUUGGACCAGAACAUCAGAGUUUCUUUGAUAAAGAUAACCAAAAAUAAAUGUCCAUCAAUCUAUGAUGACCAUUCUUUGAGACACACUGCUCUAAGGAUGACGUGAGGUCCUCUUGUCUAGAGAGAUUGAAGGAUAAGAAGGGAGAGAGGCAGAGUAGGUAGGGAGUGAGAGACAUCCCAGCCUCUCUUGUCUGGGUUAAAAUAUGUUAAAUAAUCUGAAGGGAGUGCCAAAUUCAGGCAGUUGUGUCCCUGAUUGGCAUAUUGGUGUUGAGGGUAGGGGGUUAUUUUUGGUAAGUUACCACUAAGUUGUGGGAGAGUCCAUAGCAAGCUAAACUCUGUGACUCCGUGAUUUUAGGUGUAAAAGGGAGCCAAGCUUAGUUUUCCUGUUUACCUCUGAUUCAUGAUCUAGACAAGAUCCAGAAGCUUCCACUAUUCUUUAGGAAUAACAACAUUUUGCUAAGGGUCUAGCCGAGGAAUUUGCUGUAGGUUGGAGUGAGUUUGGAGUUACCAUGUAGGUGAGGACUGCAAGGCAAAGACCUUGGGCCAGGAUCAAAGAAUAGACACAAACCUUCCCAGGGGCCAACUAAGCCAACAAGCAAUGCUAGACCCAGAACAAGCCAAGGAGAGCAAACCACAAAUUAUACCAGGCAUUGAUUUGUGCUGUAAAUGCUGGUGAGGGAGAAGUGGCAAUCUGACUAGGGUGGUUAACGCAGAGGUCAGGGAAGCAAGAGGAUUCCACUUAGAUCAUUAGAUCCCUUUGUCUGCUGCCAUGAACAUGCACCAUCUGAGGGCAGGGUGGUGGAUGCGAGGAUUUUGGAAACCCUGGCCGUGGUCCCAGUCUGGGAGUUCCCAGUAGAAGUCUGCCUAUACCUUCUGUAUGAUCCCAGGAGGGAUCCAUGAGGUAUCUCAAGAGAUACUUCAAAGUAUGGUCUCAGAGUGACAGAUUACCAGAUUGGACUAAAAUGUAAAUAUUCUUCCUCUGCUACUAGCUGGUGAGUGCUAGUGAGGAUUCUCAGAAGAGUUAUUAGGAAGAUUUUAAAAAAAAUGUACAUUUUUCUCUGCCCAUCUGAGCAAAGGGUGAGAAAUAUGCAGUUCCAACAAAUCGAUAAAACUCUUAAACACAUUAUAUACUAUGACAAAUGAUCGCCACAACAAAUUAAGUUAGGAAAACCCUUGUGAGAGUUUGACAUUUUUAAAUUCUAGAAAUGUGUUGAGGAAAUACUGUAUGUCCUGGGGGUUGAUUCUGCCUGCUCUCCACUAAGUAGGGAUAUUAGCUACUAUUCUAAGGGCAUGGGGUGUAGCGGGGAGAACACAGGCUCCAGGCUCAAAUCCAGACUCCACCAUUCCUUGCCUUGGAGCUUGGCCAAGUGGCAUCUGUGUCCUCAUCUGAAGAUGGGAAGGAUCAAACGUCUUCACAGGUGGAUUUCAGAAUUAAUACAUGUAAACUAUUUAAGAUGUGCUCAUAAACACUCAGUUUCAUUACAAACGUAAACUGUCUAUUGCUUUGUGUGAAAACAACUUGAGACCUGCCUAGGAGUAAACAAAGCACAGGGGUCUUGUUAGAGGGGCUUCUCUGUGGGAGAUGGAUUUUGAGUGUCGUGAGUCUAUGUAUUUGGCAACAAAUUUUUCUAAAUCUUCAAAUUCUUUAAUCGAUGAUGUAUCAUUCUUUUACCUAGUUAGAAAAGAGCAGAAAAAGACCAUGAUAUGAAUAGGUCAUUAACAAGAAUUCCAUUGUAUUUUACAUGUUAGAUGCCACUUUCAGGGAUCAGAGUAAGAUCAUAGGAUGUAAUCAACGUUUAUACAUUUUAAUGUUAUAUUAGAGCUCAUUUCAUGGCUAGGUAUAAUUGCCCCCAAUACUUAAGUAUUCCCUAUAACUCAUUUUGCAUUUCUUACUCAUGAAUUUAUCUAAAUCUUUGAAAAAAUUUCUCUAGCAUAAUCUCUUAAAGCAUGUGGGUUCCUUCAGUUUUUGCCCAUACUGUAUAGAAAUUCCUUUUAUUUGUAAUGCAACCAUCUCUCUCCAACACAAGUGUUUUUCUUUGUUAUUUUUGUAGACAAAAGGAAUGGGAAAAAUGCUCUUUUCACUUUCAUGAUGCAUACUGAUUUUUCAAGAGAGUUCGAAAGUGACCUGGCAAGUGAAAUAGAUUAUUUACCAAAAUACAGAAGACACUGUUCUUACCCUCCAAUAAAACAGAUGAUUUCUUAAAAUGGCUGUUUACUGUCUAUCACUGUGAAAUUCAAAACUUCCUCUCAUGAGUUAAUGUUUGGGAAUGGUUGUCUUGCACAGAAGUUCUUAGUGAGGCUUCUAUGUUUUUCUGAGAUGGUUAAGUACAGCACCUAAUGUGGAUAUUCUGGCCCUUACUUUUCGCUGGAGAAUUAAGGAAACAAGCUCCAGAUGACUAGCCGUUUUUAAUCGAGUGGUUGCAUACUCAGUAUACUUCCUGGAAAGAACAAACUGAAAAACAAAAACUGUACAUGUUGGCAGACUGUUCUCCUUGUGUCUCAUACUUUUCUGCAUGUCUUAUGAGCAGAGGCACCGAGUGACUUUGGGGCAAUCUUUUCAAUGUGUUUGUGUGGGCCUAAAGAGAAACUCAGAACUUAAGAUCUGUGCAUUUAAGGUUCAUGCAUUUAAGGGUCUUGCUGAAGGCUGUACCACAGGAGACAGUUCACUCAGCUCUGAGGAAAUUGCUCUGAAAAGGCAGGGGAGAAAGCAGUUUAUGUCUGAUUUUUGGCUCAGGAAUAUAUGCAGUCAAGCAUACAUUUUGGCAAAAGAUUACUGUUGAUCACAAAGAACAGGUAUUUCAGGUGAGUGAUUUUAGUUUAGGAAGAUGCAGGAAUCUGUGGUCAUUAAAAUUCUGCCUGAGAUAUGCAUCUAACUAUUUAAGGGACCUGCUUGUCCAAAGCACAGAGCAUGUCAAAUUACCUCAGUUUCUUCUCAGAGUCACUGUUGGUCAGCAGUGGGUUAAGACUUAAUCCUAGCAGAACCAAUGUGGUGGUGGGGGAGGGCGGGGGAGGGUGGUGGUGAUGAGCAAUUCUCUUUGUUCUUCUUUAGUUCACUUUCGUAAAGGAAACAGCUCUGAAAGAUAGAGCCUGCAUCUCCCUCUGGAACAGAGAGGGAGGCGUGCUUACCAUCCCUGUAAUAGCUUGGGUUCUUGCAGCAUACACCCCACCCCCCAACCCGGUGUGUGCAGGUGUCCCUUGACUCUCGCGGCAUUGACUCCUGGGAACCAGGGCUCAGGGAACUGACCCAAGAAAAUACGAAUACUCUGGCAACUAUUUAUCCUGUGAGUAACCAAGUGUUUUGACUCUGACCCAGGAGUUGUGUGUGUUCUGAGGAUCCAUAAACUGUGGCAGACUGAGAAUGAAAGAGGAGUGCAUAUCCAAAAGAGAGUUGAGGUGCAUUACCUGAAAAUGGUGCUGGUAAUCAAUGACUAGAUAUCCGAUACCAUGACAGGUAAUUUUGCAUGUAUGGUUCCUUCCUCCUACUGAUUUUCUUGAUUAGCAGCUCUCCUUAUCCAAGUCCUAGUCUUCAACUAAGGCCAAGCAAAUUUCUCCAGCCCAGGGACAGCGUCAAACCUCUUGAUAUCACAUUUCUAGAAAAAUGCAUUGUAUAAAUAAGCAUUCAGUAAAUAUUUGCUAUUGGUUUAUCUGUGUCCUCCUGUGUCUUCUGCCUCUAGGAUCUUGGAAGACAGAGACUAUAGUAUUUGGGAUUCAUUAAAGUUUUUAGCAAUAUUAGUAUAUAAAGUAAGAAAAAAUUUUUGUUAAAUCUAGUAAAUACAUACUAAAAUUAACUAUGUUAAUCAGUAGCUUAUUCCAGGUGUCAAACUUUUUUUUUCUUUUUACACCUACACCUGUGGCAUAUGGAAUUUCCCUGUCCAGGGGUCGAAUCUAAGCUGCAGCUCUGGCCUACAUCACGGCCAUGGCAACAGUAGACCUGAGGCACAUCUGUAACCUAUGCUGCAGCUUGCUGCAACUCUGGGAUUUAAUCCAUUAAAGAGGCCAGGAAUCUAACCCACAGCCUCACAGGGAGACAACAGGUCCCUAACCUGCUAAGGUACAAUGGGAACUCCCAGGGGUCAAACUUAUAUUGUGGAAAAAAGAUCACUUGCAGUAAUAUGAAAUAGAUAUAAAGUAGAUAUAAACUCCUUCUGUGUUCUUGGAGUCCCUAUUGGUUAAGGACUUGGUGUUGUCCCUGCUGUAGCUCAGGUUACUGCUGUGGCUUGUGUUUGAUUGCCUGGGAACUUCCAUAUGCUGUGGGCACAG